UGGUGGAGUGAUUUGUCUGGUUAAUUCCGUUAACGAACGAGACCUUAAUCUGCUAAAUAGUAACAUUCACUUUGGUGGAUGGAGACUUCUUAGAGAGACUAUGAACGUUUAGUUCAUGGAAGUUUGAGGCAAUAACA
rnacentral:rRNA from 1 species